rnacentral:rRNA from 1 species
GGGUUGUGAGGUUAAGCGACUAAGCGUACACGGUGGAUGCCCUGGCAGUCAGAGGCGAUGAAGGACGUGCUAAUCUGCGAUAAGCGUCGGUGAGGUGAUAUGAACCGUUAUAACCGGCGAUUUCCGAAUGGGGAAACCCAGUGUGAUUCGUCACACUAUCAUUAACUGAAUCCAUAGGUUAAUGAGGCGAACCGGGGGAACUGAAACAUCUAAGUACCCCGAGGAAAAGAAAUCAACCGAGAUUCCCCCAGUAGCGGCGAGCGAACGGGGAGGAGCCCAGAGCCUGAAUCAGUGUGUGUGUUAGUGGAAGCGUCUGGAAAGGCGCGCGAUACAGGGUGACAGCCCCGUACACAAAAAUGCACAUGCUGUGAGCUCGAUGAGUAGGGCGGGACACGUGGUAUCCUGUCUGAAUAUGGGGGACCAUCCUCCAAGGCUAAAUACUCCUGACUGACCGAUAGUGAACCAGUACCGUGAGGGA